rnacentral:rRNA from 1 species
GGGACGGUUACCACGGUGUGAUUCAUGACUGGGGUGAAGUCGUAACAAGGUAGCCGUAGGGGAACCUGCGGCUGGAUCACCUCCUUA